rnacentral:rRNA from 1 species
UACGUAGGGUGCAAGCGUUGUCCGGAAUUAUUGGGCGUAAAGAGCUCGUAGGCGGUCUGUCGCGUCGGCUGUGAAAACCCGGGGCUCAACCCCGGGCCUGCAGUCGAUACGGGCGGGCUAGAGUUCGGUAGGGGAGACUGGAAUUCCUGGUGUAGCGGUGAAAUGCGCAGAUAUCAGGAGGAACACCGGUGGCGAAGGCGGGUCUCUGGGCCGAUACUGACGCUGAGGAGCGAAAGCGUGGGGAGCGAACAGG